rnacentral:rRNA from 1 species
AAAGCUCGUUAAGACUAGAUGGUGUAUCCCUACAUAGCGGGUGGGACCCACGGCGAAUGGUUCAUCAAGUCUUCAAAAAAGAAUAUAUACGAUUGCAUUGCAUAUACUAACGGAUGCGAUCAUGCCAGCACUAAUGCACCGGAUCCCAUCAGAACUCCGCAGUCAAGCGUGCUUGGGCGAGAGUAGUACUAGGAUGGGUGACCUCCCGGGAAGUCCUCGUGUUGCAUCCCUCUU